UACGUAGGGGGCAAGCGUUGUCCGGAAUCAUUGGGCGUAAAGAGCGUGUAGGCGGCUCGAUAAGUCUGCUGUGAAAGUCCAGGGCUCAACCCUGGAAGGCCGGUGGAAACUGUCGGGCUAGAGUCCGGAAGAGGCGAGUGGAAUUCCCGGUGUAGCGGUGAAAUGCGCAGAUAUCAGGAAGAACACCCGUGGCUAAGGCGGUUCUCUAGUACGGUACUGACGCUGAGACGCGAAAGCCAGGGGAGCAAACGGG
rnacentral:rRNA from 1 species